GAUGAACGCUAGCGGCAGGCUUAAUACAUGCAAGUCGAGGGGCAGCACGGUUAGCAAUAACUGGUGGCGACCGGCGCACGGGUGCGUAACACGUAUACAAUCUACCUUAAACAGGGGGAUAGCCUUUCGAAAGAGAGAUUAAUACCCCGUAAUAAAUUGAACGGCAUCGUUUGAUUUUGAAAGCUCCGGCGGUUUGAGAUGAGUAUGCGUCUGAUUAGCUAGUUGGUGAGGUAACGGCUCACCAAGGCGACGAUCAGUAGGGGAUCUGAGAGGACUAACCCCCACACUGGUACUGAGACACGGACCAGACUCCUACGGGAGGCAGCAGUAAGGAAUAAUUGGUCAAUGGAGGGCAACUCUGAACCAGCCAUGCCGCGUGCAGGAUGACGGCCCCUAUGGGUUGUAAACUGCUUUAUUACAAGAGAAACCCUAGGUACGUGUACCAGGUUGAUAGUAUUGUAAGAAUAAGCAUCGGCUAACUUCGUGCCAGCAGCCGCGGUAAU
rnacentral:rRNA from 1 species